GGGCAAUCUUGGCAGCAGAGAGGAGCAACCCGCUGCUUGUCUGAACGGGAGAAGAGCAGGUGUGCAGGCGCUGGCCCAGAGAGGACAGAGCAGAGCCCGGCCCUAAAUGCCAGGGGCAGCUUGAUAAAGGAAAAGGAAUUGCCACAGCCACCCCAGCUUUCAGCAAGCACGACCCCGAUCAGUCAGCAGCCAUCAACACUGACGCAAGACUCUCCACCAGCAAAAAGCUGAAAGCUCAGGGAUGUGCUCCAUCUCAUCCUCUGGAAACCCGGAGUUCCAUGAAUGCACUUUCCUUGGUGGAUGAUUGUCUAAGACACUUUUCCAGAGGUUCCUGGACUGUGGCCACUACACAGUCCACACUGGUACCAAGUUCUGUUUACUGAUGCACAGGUCAGGAGUUUGGAUGGAAUUGCCUGGAUUUUCUGCUCACAAUGCUGAAAUCAGGUUGUCAGCCAGGCCGAGCACUUUUCUGGAGGAUUUGAGAAGGAGAAUGUGAGUGGCUCAUUUGCAGCGCCAGUGCCAUCGGAGAUGUGACUGUAGGCCACCUGGUGAACUCUGCAGGAUCUGAAGGCUCAGGCAUUGGAGUUUGCACACAAAAAGCAGGACAGGGACCAACACAGAGAACACAGACCCAUGUCUCUAGUUUUUCUUCAGCUCAGACACGUUUUCUUUUUGGAUGUUCUCUAUGCCCUGUUAGCACUGACAUUGUGUAGUUAGUUCUUCAGCAUUUGAUUCAUUUUCUAACUAUCUAUUCCCUUCUCUCUUGAGGUUUCUAGCUAAUUCAACCAGAGUUGAAAUAAUCUAAAACAUCGCUUGCUACUCAAAGAGCGGCCCAUGUGAAAUCAGGAUGUCACCAAGUAGCUUGUUCAAAAUAUAAGGCCUACCCCAGACCUGCUGAUUCAGAAUCUGUGUUUCAAUGUUACCAAAUGAUUUAUUUGCACAUUGAAAUUUUGAAAUGCUCAUAUCAGAGAACAAGGUAUUUGUAAAAUCACCUUUCACUGAAUUUGUCAAAGUUCUCAAAAUAAAAUAAGCCUCAAUAAUUUCUCCAAAGGCAUGAAAAUUUGAUUUAAUAGAUUUAUAAAUACAGAACAUUUUGAGAGGUAACAGAGAAGAGCCUUGCUUUCCUUCCUAAUCAACUUGCUUUUUGCACCUGCCUUACUUUUGUGACCAUGGAGAUUCCUACUGAGGGCAAUUUUAGGGCAAAAUUUUGAGACAACCAAUGCCUGAAGUCACUGUAAGUAAUCAAUUUUAUAAAUAAGAAGUAUUUUAUAAUUAUCAUGUCUAAAGGUAUUUGUCAGAUCAUUUAUUUUAUUGUAACUGAAUAUUGUUAGCAAGUAAAAAUAGUCUAAAGUGAUGAGUGUUAUUUUAUUAGUAAUAAGAAAAAAUGGGUAAGAGGUUAAAUACACCUAAGUUGCAUACUUUUUCAAAAAACAAAUAGUCUAAUACCUAUUUUCUUCACAUAUGUUUCAGAUGUCCAGGUCAGAUCUGCACUCAUCACACUGGUCUCUGCAUCUUUGUAGAACCAACAUGACAAUAGACUAAAUAUGGCCAUGAAUGUAAGAUGCUGAAAUUGCCACCUGAUCAAAUCCCUUAAAAGGGAGCAUGAGUAGAUUUAUACUCAAGAGUGUACUUUUGCAGGAAUUGAGGUCAGCAGCUCUCUAUAGCAAAAGGGGUCCAUAUUCCUGCAAGGUAGGCAAUGUGACAUAGGGAAAGUUAGGCAGGAGUUCUAGAGCUCUCCUCCCACCUAAAUGCAUGACCUUACAGCCCUAAGUAUUGGGUUUUCAUUGCCACAUGCAACAUGAGAAGUAUUAACUGCUUGCAUAGCUCUCAGGACAAACCUUAUAAUAGCUCAACAGCUAAUGUAUUGCACAUUUUAAAUAAAAUUCUGAUCUGACAUUGAAAGUGUGUGGAAAAUUCCCAGUUUUCAAUAUUUGUGUGAAUUUCGAAAUUCCAAGCCAUUGUGAAAAUGUGUUUUACAACCUUCCAAUGUCUAUCCAAUCAGGACAAAUAGCAACCCAUGUGAAUUGAGUAACAGAAAGACUUAUUUUAAAAUAGAAAAAUCUUGCCCCAUAGAACUUGUGUCACUAUGAAAACUGAGAAUUAUCAAAGAGCAAUUACUUAUAGUUGCUCAAGAGUGUUAGGAGGUUAAAUAAAAGGGGCAAAUUGAUAUGCAGUUCUCCUCUAAAACAUAAAACAAAAUUAGCAGCCAUAUAAAGCCAGGAAAUCCUAAAACAGGUAUGUAAAGUAAAUGUCUACCAGAGUAAAAUGCUACAAAAUAUGAAAAUGUAGAAAUUAAAUUCUAUAGGAGACAAGGAAAUCAGAGAAUUGCCUAGCCCAGUGUGUACUUAGAUUUGAUAUCACAUAUUUAAUUCACACUGUGAGAAGUGACAGCAUA